rnacentral:rRNA from 1 species
UACGUAGGCAGCAAGCGUUGUUCGGAGUUAUUGGGUUUAAAGGGUGCGUAGGCGGUCUAUUAAGUCAGUUGUGAAAUACGGCAGCUCAACUGUCGAGGUGCAAUUGAUACUGAUGGACUUGAGUACUGAUGAGGUAAGCGGAAUGGACGGUGUAGCGGUGAAAUGCUUAGAUAUCGUCCAGAACACCGAUAGCGAAGGCAGCUUACUAAGGAGUAACUGACGCUGAGGCACGAAAGUGUGGGGAUCAAACAGG